rnacentral:rRNA from 3 species
UUAAAUUGAAGAGUUUGAUCAUGGCUCAGAUUGAACGCUGGCGGCAGGCCUAACACAUGCAAGUCGAACGGUAACAGGAAGCAGCUUGCUGUUUCGCUGACGAGUGGCGGACGGGUGAGUAAUGUCUGGGAAACUGCCUGAUGGAGGGGG